ACAGUACUCCUACGGGAGGCAGCAGUGGGAAUAUGACAAUGGGGAAACCCUGAUGCAGCCAUGCCGCGUGUGUGAAGAAGGCCUUCGGGUUGUAAACCNCUUUUAGCAGGGAAGAAGCGAAAGUGACGGUACCUGCAGAAAAAGCACCGGCUAACUACGUGCCAGCAGCCGCGGUAAUACGUAGGGUGCAAGCGUUGUCCGGAAUUAUUGGGCGUAAAGAGCUCGUAGGCGGUUUGUCACGUCUGCUGUGAAAAUCCAAGGCUCAACCUUGGACUUGCAGUGGGUACGGGCAGGCUAGAGUGCGGUAGGGGAGAUGGGAAUUCCUGGUGUAGCGGUGGAAUGCGCAGAUAUCAGGAGGAACACCAAUGGCGAAGGCACAUCUCUGGGCCGUAACUGACGCUGAGGAGCGAAAGCGUGGGGAGCGAACAGGAUUAGAUACCCUGGUAG
rnacentral:rRNA from 1 species